UACAAAGACUACAACUACAAGUGUUUUGCUUCACUCCGCCCGUGUUCAUUCAUUACAGCUUAUAACUUUUACUUCAAAACUGACCCGACACUUCACCAAACCUAUCCUAUAGAGCUGGGUGUUCCAGCGCGCUGUUUGGCGCUUCGCUGUUUUAUCCGCCAACGGAAAAACCCUGCUCAAAACUUCUAAACUUCUGACUUGGGACACUACAGCUCGCAGCAAUAGAUCCGUUUCCUCUCCUUCCAUUUCGAAAAUUAUGGCCACGAAUUCUGACCUUGCUGAGAUUUGGAACUUGAACAUGAAAACCGUAGAUGAGUAUCUCGGAAGGUCGACGGAAAGCGCUGAGCGCAGAAAAGCGGACGGGGAGGCGACGGACAAAGAUGCGUCCAGUACAACAGCAGGACGGAACUGUAGCGCACGCCGUGAGCGGACAGUCUCCGAUGCGGAGCGCUGUGCUAAAGAGCCUGCUCGGUUCUGUCCGCGUUGCAGUGAAGAGACGAACACCGGGAAUCUCUUCUGCCACCAAUGUGGGUCAAUGCUAGAGACUGCCGCGGAGGGAACUAGCAUCCAUAGCGUAAGCUCUGGGAGAAGCGCUGAGGAACAGCUGUACUUGUCCAUCAGCAAGGGUCCCAUCAAGCGACCACAGCCAGACGAAGACCUCGUGGCAGAAGAGAGUGCAUUCUCAACAAAAAGAAGAGACGCUGUGGAGCAGUGGCGUCGUAGCGUACAAGAUAACUACUUUGACGAUGUGCACUGUCAGCAUGACAGUGUCAAUACCACUUUCGAGGAGGCAGUAUGCGACGAGAGUGGCCAGGCUGAGGCAGAACAGAUCGUGCCUCUUGAGAAGCGCUCAUCGCAGAGUUGCUUUCCCAGGACAUCGUCCCCUCUCCGCGAUGGAAGGGAGGCACAUCUCGAGCCUCCCAGAGCAGAAGAAACUGAUUUACUAGCCGCAGUGUGUCCACCCCAUGAUCUAACAAACCUCCGUAAGGGAAAUGAGACAGAGCUCAUUAUUGACGAUAUGGCAUAUCCUGUAGAUACGGAGUCUAGACACCCUGCAUUGCAGAACACUGAUCACUUAUCAGCAUCGUUCUCAAAGCACAAGGAAGAACCGGACGUGUCACAGAGGGCUGAUAAGACAACCAAUCUAGAAGAAAUGUGUUCCACGGAAGCUGCUGUAGACCGUCAGUCACACCAGGAGAACCGGGCACGAAACACAGCACACAAUGCUGGUGUCAAGUCUCUAGUUUCCACCAGCGGCAGCAGUGAAUAUAACAAGCAGCUCAACACCGUCGGGAAUUUACGGGAUGCCUCCGCCCGCGAUAAGCUGCAGCGGCAGCAGACACACAUCCUUGAGCUGCCCCUGGACGUGCUGAUCAUGUUGCUCAAGGCUGUGCGCACUCGUCACGGCAUGCAGGCCAUGCUGAAUGUCUCGGCCACCUGCCACAAGAUGCGCUGCAUCGUCUUGGACCACUGCUUGUGGACCUCAUUCUUCUUUCAGAAAGCCAACUUACUGGUGGACACCUGUAGCAGUUUCCUGCAGUCGCUGCCUCCUAAUGCUGUAAAGAGACUGUCGUUGGUUGAUUGUCAAUUGUCGAAUCGUUAUGACCAGCAGAAGCCUCUGCAAGAUGCAAUCAGAGCAGCCAGCAACGGCAUCAAGUAUCUGAGGAUCAGUUCACCGAGAGACGAAAUUGGCGAUCGACUUCACAGCUUUGGCUUUCUACAGGGGAUCAGGCUGCGAGAACUAACUUGCCUGAGACUAGAGGCUGUUCCUGGAACGAUAAAUGAUCUUCUCAUACCGCUGUUCAAAAGCGCCAAACGUCUCGAGGAGGUCCGGCUUGCCCGCACAGGAAGCCUCAUGCCGUCGGUCCUUGCAUUUCUUUUCGAGCAACAUGGAUCAAGCUUGAAAUGUGUGCGGCUAAGAGGUAUCCCGCUGAAAGGGAAUUGUGAAGAGAAAAAGAAAUUUGGAAUGGCCAUAGCUGAACAUGGCGGCCGUCUCGAGAAGUUUGAGUUGAGUAAGAACACGUUUGCCUUCAAGCCGGAGACGUGGAAGUGUAUUUUUAGCUCGUUUCAAAAUCUCCGAUGUCUUGGAGUUAGCGAUACUAACGUAAAUGAAGAAGUCCUAAAUAGUCUAUCAGAUAGCUGCCUGUCGACUCUCGUCUAUUUGGAUGUAACCGAUUGCUGGGAGUGCAAUUCGGCAUCCCUUAACGCCCUUCUGAAACGCUGCUUGCCUGAAUUGCGGGUGUGUGGACCUCCGUCAAUGGAUGACUCGCACGAAUUUUUACUCGACAGCAUGUUAAUGUGGGAGUUCGAACAGCUGAGGGCCUCUCACGACGACUUUGACAACUAUUGAGUUUUUUGGUGAUGCAUCGAAGACCAAACGACAUCACAAUCCAGCUGCUUGAGGUCUAUGUCAGUAGCAACGCAUGACGCUUCACACAACAGUGUGUGGACCUCCGUCAAUGCCCGGAUAUAUGCAAAACAACCAGUUUAUGGUUGAUUUUGAAGAUGUCAGCGAGAGGAGGAACUAUCACGACGCCUUUGACGACUAUUGAGCUGUUGGUGAUGCAUCGAAGACCAAACGACAUCACAAUCCAGCUGCUUGAGGUUUAUGUCAGUAGCAACGUAUGUUGCUUCACACAACAGUUGAGUCCUGCUUGAGAGACAGAACUGAUAAUGAUGCAUGAUGACUUUCACUUGUGUCGAUUCCAUGGAAACGCAAACCUCUAGACAAUGAGCCAGUACUUCACAUCUUCUACUUUAAAGUGCUGAUCAGGCUUUUUGUUGUUGUUGUUGUUGUUGUUGUUGUUGUUGUUGUUUUUGUUGCUGCUGCUGCUCUUGUUGUUACGGUUGUUAUCCUUGUCAAUGGCAGCAACAGUGUAGUUGCUCGAAUUUAUGCACUUGGCAUCCAUGCAGAUAUCCAAUUAUACUUAUGUUACAGACGAUCGUCAUCAAGUUCAAAUUGACUGACAUAAUUUAAUUAACACUAGCCAUCCACAGGAAACACCACACGACGUAUACAUGGACCUUUAAAAGAUUGGACGCAGUAGCAAACACAGCG